rnacentral:misc_RNA from 1 species
UCAAAUUAUGCCGCCAAAGCAACAAGUAUCUCUCUGAUAAAACUGAAGCGGAACAUUUCCAAAACUAAUCUCAAAUCAAUUCUAUCCAUGAUUGAUCCUAAAACUGUCGGAGGUAACUUUCUGGUACUAGCCAGUUACUAUUUGGUUGGAACCAUUAUGGACUAUUCAAAGUCUCUAAACCUUGUUGACAUCAGGAAACAGUGGUUGUAUGUUAUUUCUGAUACUGAUCGAAAAUACCACGACAUGCACGUGUUCCGGAAUAUGUUGAAAGAAGGUGACAAUGUUGCUUUUAUCUAUAAUACAACUGUGUUAUCCAGCAAUUGUGUGGGAGGAAGAAAGUGCCAAAUAGAAGAAAUUAUUGAAGCGUUCACGAGGGCCUUAGACGAGGCGGUGCAAGAAGAAUCUGAUACCGCGAGCCAAAUUGCAGAAGAAGAAUGGGAAGCUAUCAGACCAACAAAAGUGGAGAGAAGGGAGUUCUUGUUGGGCAAAAUCAAAAAAUAUAUUUCAAAGAAUGGGAUAUGUGAUAAUUGCACCUUCUGGGAGAUGAAGACUGGAGAAACUUGGGGACAGGAAUACCAAAAUCUUAGUAGGAAUAUUACGUCACAACUGAUUCCCGUAGGAACAUGGAGACCUAGUGAUGGGGCUACGAUGAUUGACGAAUUAUUUUUACACAUCGCCCACGGUUUCAGAAAGAAAAUUUUGCCAAUGGUGACCUUUCAUAAUCCCCCAUGGCAAAUUCUGAGUUUGAACGAAUCAGGAGACGUUACAGAAUACAAAGGAUUGGUCUUUGACAUAAUCAGAGAGUUGGCAAAAAAUCUCAACUUCACUUUCAAACUCGAAGUAGUAAAUAAAUCAGUCUUUUUGGAAAACACGACCAUCAAAAGCGCUUCACAUAAUAUCAUCGGCAAUUCUCUAACAAACCGCAUACCCGUAUAUAUCCUUAACAUGACGAAAAACAAAGUCGUCUUCUUGGGAGCUUGUGCUGUUACAAUUACUGAGGAUCUGAAAUACGUUAUCAAUUUUACCAGACCCAUCAGCACACAAACCCACACGUUUCUUGUCGCCAGACCACGAGAGUUGAGCAGGGCGUUGCUUUUCAUUUCUCCUUUUACAGGAGAUACCUGGUUAUGUUUGGCAGCAUCCAUAGUUUGUAUGGGUCCCAUUUUGUAUUACAUACACCGAUUCAGUCCAGUUUACGAAUACAAAGGAAUUCCAAUGAAGGGAGGAUUAUCUUCGAUUCAAAACUGCAUUUGGUAUAUGUACGGUGCUUUACUUCAACAAGGUGGAAUGCACCUCCCUUGUGCGGAUAGUGCGAGACUCUUGAUUGGUUCUUGGUGGCUUGUAGUUUUGGUGAUAGCCACAACUUAUUGUGGAAAUCUUGUCGCUUUUCUGACGUUUCCUAAAAUAGAUAUUCCCAUCACCACACUGGAAGAAAUGAUUUCUCAUAAAGAUACCGUUACCUGGAGCUUUAGAGAAGGAAGUUACUUGGAAAACGAGUUGAAGAUUGCCGAUGAACCUAGAUUCAGAAGUGUUUAUGAAGGGAGGUCUAGACAGUCCAACUCUGAUAUUAGUAAUUUAGUAAACAGCAUACAAGAAGGAAAGCAUGUUUUCAUCGAUUGGAAAAUGAAACUACAGUUCAUCAUGAAAGAAAGGUUUCUGGAAACUGGCCAAUGCGAUUUCACACUAGAAUCAAAAAACUCCACCAAGUCGGCCUCAUUCAAAAGUGGCUUCAAGAUUAUCUACCAAAAAAGGACCGCUGUUGGAAAAACCGUCACCUUGUAGAAGUCAACAAUCAUACGGUCAAUCUAGAUGACAUGCAAGGAAUCUUUUUCGUCUUGUUUCUAGGUUUUCUACUGUCUCUGUUUCUGCUGAUUUUUGAAAAGGUUUGGUUCGGAAAGUUUAACAAACAGCAACAGAAAACCAUACAGCCGU